AAGUUCCGACCCGCACGAAAGGUGUAACGAUUUGGGCACUGUCUCAACCAGAGACUCGGUGAAAUUAUAGUACCUGUGAAGAUGCAGGUUACCCGCGACAGGACGGAAAGACCCCGUGGAGCUUUACUGUAGCCUGAUAUUGAAUUUUGGUACAGUUUGUACAGGAUAGGCGGGAGCCAUUGAAACCGGAGCGCUAGCUUCGGUGGAGGCGCUGGUGGGAUACCGCCCUGACUGUAUUGAAAUUCUAACCUACGGGUCUUAUCGACCCGGGAGACAGUGUCAGGUGGGCAGUUUGACUGGGGCGGUCGCCUCCUAAAGUGUAACGGAGGCGCCCAAAGGUUCCCUCAGAAUGGUUGGAAAUCAUUCGUAGAGUGCAAAGGCAUAAGGGAGCUUGACUGCGAGACCUACAAGUCGAGCAGGGACGAAAGUCGGGCUUAGUGAUCCGGUGGUUCCGCAUGGAAGGGCCAUCGCUCAACGGAUAAAAGCUACCCCGGGGAUAACAGGCUUAUCUCCCCCAAGAGUCCACAUCGACGGGGAGGUUUGGCACCUCGAUGUCGGCUCAUCGCAUCCUGGGGCUGUAGUCGGUCCCAAGGGUUGGGCUGUUCGCCCAUUAAAGCGGUACGCGAGCUGGGUUCAGAACGUCGUGAGACAGUUCGGUCCCUAUCCGUCGUGGGCGUAGGAAAUUUGAGAGGAGCUGUCCUUAGUACGAGAGGACCGGGAUGGACGCACCGCUGGUGUACCAGUUGUUCUGCCAAGGGCAUAGCUGGGUAGCUAUGUGCGGAAGGGAUAAGUGCUGAAAGCAUCUAAGCAUGAAGCCCCCCUCAAGAUGAGAUUUCCCAUAGCGUAAGCUAGUAAGAUCCCUGAAAGAUGAUCAGGUUGAUAGGUUCGAGGUGGAAGCAUGGUGACAUGUGGAGCUGACGAAUACUAAUAGAUCGAGGACU
rnacentral:rRNA from 1 species